AGAGUUUGAUCCUGGCUCAAGACGAACGCUGGCGGCGUGCUUAACACAUGCAAGUCGAACGGAGUUAUUUGGAAAGCUUGCUUUUUGAAUAACUUAGUGGCGGACGGGUGAGUAACGCGUGAGUAAUCUGUCUCACACAGGGGAAUAACGCACCGAAAGGUGUGCUAAUACCGCAUGAGACCACAGAGGGGCAUCCCUUAGGGGUCAAAGAUUUAUCGGUGUGAGGUGAGCUCGCGUCCCAUUAGAUAGUUGGUGAGGUAACGGCCCACCAAGUCGACGAUGGGUAGCCGACCUGAGAGGGUGAUCGGCCACAUUGGGACUGAGACACGGCCCAAACUCCUACGGGAGGCAGCAGUGGGGAAUAUUGCACAAUGGGGGAAACCUUGAUGCAGCAACGCCGCGUGAGUGAUGACGGCCUUCGGGUUGUAAAGCUCUGUCUUUGGGGACGAUAAUGACGGUACCCAAGGAGGAAGCCACGGCUAACUACGUGCCAGCAGCCGCGGUAAUACGUAGGUGGCAAGCGUUGUCCGGAUUUACUGGGCGUAAAGGGAGCGUAGGCGGAUUUUUAAGUGGGAUGUGAAAUACCCGGGCUCAACCUGGGUGCUGCAUUCCAAACUGGAAAUCUAGAGUGCAGGAGGGGAAAGGAGAAAUUCCUAGUGUAGCGGUGAAAUGCGCAGAGAUUAGGAAGAACACCAGUGGCGAAGGCGACUUUCUGGACUGUAACUGACGCUGAGGCUCGAAAGCGUGGGGAGCAAACAGGAUUAGAUACCCUGGUAGUCCACGCCGUAAACGAUGAACACUAGGUGUUAGACCAAGUCAAAUUUCAGUGCUGCAGUUAACGCAGUAAGUACUCCGCCUGAGUAGUACGUUCGCAAGAAUGAAACUCAAAGAAAUUGACGGGGGCCCGCACAAGCGGCGGAGCAUGCGGAUUAAUUCGAUGCAACGCGAAGAACCUUACCAGGUCUUGACAUGGAUGGACAGGAUCCUUAACCGGAUCUUUCCUUCGGGACAGGCGAGACAGGUGGUGCAUGGUUGUCGUCAGCUCGUGUCGUGAGAUGUUGGGUUAAGUCCCGCAACGAGCGCAACCCCUAUUUUUAGUAGCCAGCGGUUCGGCCGGGCACUCUAGAGAGACUGCCAGGGAUAACCUGGAGGAAGGUGGGGAUGACGUCAAAUCAUCAUGCCCCUUACGAUUUGGGCUACACACGUGCUACAAUGGCGUAAACAAAGAGAAGCGAAGCUGUGAGGCCAAGCAAAUCCCAAAAAUAACGUCUCAGUUCGGAUUGUAGUCUGCAACUCGACUACAUGAAGCUGGAAUCGCUAGUAAUCGCGAAUCAGAAUGUCGCGGUGAAUACGUUCCCGGGUCUUGUACUCACCGCCCGUCA
rnacentral:rRNA from 1 species